rnacentral:rRNA from 1 species
AACGCUGGCGGCGUGCUUAACACGAUGCAAGUCGAACGAAGCACCCUCAUCCGUGAAGGGAGUAGCUUGCUACGAACGGACGACACCCGAGGGUGACUGAGUGGCGGACGGGUGAGUAACGCGUGGGCAACCUGCCCCAUAGAGGGGGACAACAGUUAGAAAUGACUGCUAAUACCGCAUAGUAAAGUAGAUCCGCAUGCUUCUGCUUUGAAAGCUUUUGCGCUAUGGGAUGGGCCCGCGUUUGAUUAGCUAGUUGGUGAGGUAACGGCCCACCAAGGCGACGAUCAAUAGCCGGCUUGAGAGAGUGAACGGCCACAUUGGGACUGAGACACGGCCCAAACUCCUACGGGAGGCAGCAGUGGGGAAUAUUGCACAAUGGGGGAAACCCUGAUGCAGCGAACCGCCGCGUGAGUGAAGAAGUAUUUCGGUAUGUAAAGCUCUAUCAGCAAGAAAGAUAAUGACGGUACCUGACUAAGAAGCCCCGGCUAACUACGUGCCAGCAGCAGC